rnacentral:rRNA from 1 species
GACGAACGCUGGCGGCGUGCUUAUCACAUGCAAGUCGAACGGAAAGGCCCUGCUUUUGUGGGGUGCUCGAGUGGCGAACGGGUGAGUAACACGUGAGUAACCUGCCCUUGACUUUGGGAUAACUUCAGGAAACUGGGGCUAAUACCGGAUAGGAGCUCCUGCUGCAUGGUGGGGGUUGGAAAGUUUCGGCGGUUGGGGAUGGACUCGCGGCUUAUCAGCUUGUUGGUGGGGUAGUGGCUUACCAAGGCUUUGACGGGUAGCCGGCCUGAGAGGGUGACCGGCCACAUUGGGACUGAGAUACGGCCCAGACUCCUGCGGGAGGCAGCAGUGGGGAAUAUUGCACAAUGGGCGGAAGCCUGAUGCAGCAACGCCGCGUGCGGGAUGACGGCCUUCGGGUUGUAAACCGCUUUCGCCUGUGACGAAGCGUGAGUGACGGUAAUGGGUAAAGAAGCACCGGCUAACUACGUG